rnacentral:rRNA from 1 species
UACGGAGGGGGCUAGCGUUGUUCGGAAUUACUGGGCGUAAAGCGCACGUAGGCGGCUUUGUAAGUUAGAGGUGAAAGCCCGGGGCUCAACUCCGGAAUUGCCUUUAAGACUGCAUCGCUAGAAUUGUGGAGAGGUAAGUGGAAUUCCGAGUGUAGAGGUGAAAUUCGUAGAUAUUCGGAAGAACACCAGUGGCGAAGGCGACACACUGGCCCGUUACUGACGCUGAGGCGCGAAAAGCAUGGGGGAGCAAACAGG